rnacentral:rRNA from 1 species
UACGUAGGUGGCAAGCGUUGUUCGGAUUUACUGGGCGUAAAGGGCGCGUAGGCGGUAGCACAAGUCAGUUGUGAAAUCUCCGGGCUUAACUCGGAAAGGUCAACUGAUACUGUGCGACUAGAGUGCAGAAGGGGCAACUGGAAUUCUCGGUGUAGCGGUGAAAUGCGUAGAUAUCGAGAGGAACACCUGCGGCGAAGGCGGGUUGCUGGGCUGACACUGACGCUGAGGCGCGAAAGCCAGGGGAGCGAACGGG